AGUGAACGCUGGCGGUAGGCCUAACACAUACAAGUCGAACGGCAGCACAGUAAGAGCUUGCUCUUACGGGUGGCGAGUGGCGGACGGGUGAGGAAUACAUCGGAAUCUACUUUUUCGUGGGGGAUAACGUAGGGAAACUUACGCUAAUACCGCAUACGACCUACGGGUGAAAGCAGGGGAUCUUCGGACCUUGCGCGAUUGAAUGAGCCGAUGUCGGAUUAGCUAGUUGGCGGGGUAAAGGCCCACCAAGGCGACGAUCCGUAGCUGGCCUGAGAGGAUGAUCAGCCACACUGGAACUGAGACACGGUCCAGACUCCUACGGGAGGCAGCAGUGGGGAAUAUUGGACAAUGGGCGCAAGCCUGAUCCAGCCAUACCGCGUGGGUGAAGAAGGCCUUCGGGUUGUAAAGCCCUUUUGUUGGGAAAGAAAAGCAGCAGGUUAAUACCCCGCUGUUCUGACGGUACCCAAAGAAUAAGCACCGGCUAACUUCGUG
rnacentral:rRNA from 1 species